UUGCAGAGGUGUGUAUCACAACCAUGACCAUACUAAAUGGAUGAUUUGGAAGCUGCUUUGGAAAGAAGCAUCUUGUAAAGAAAUGAAUGUAAAGGGUCCAAGUGAAAUGUGAUGUACUUGUAAUACAUGCAGUUUAAGAAGUCACAUAUCAAGAUAUACUGACAGGAAAUGAGAUCACUCAAAAUUACAUGUAUUAAGUUUCAACCCCCUUUAAACAAGACACACAUUUGACCGUCUGCUGAUUUGGAGGAUUUAAAAGUAAGAGGACAUGAACUCCACAAGUGUUUGUGAAACCUAAUGAUACAUUCUCCAGCAUGAUUUGAGAAUGAUCUUGUGUUUUAAUGCAAGCAGGAACAUCUGACUGUCUGUACAAAGGAGAUAAACAUAGUAAAUAUCAAA